GGACUUGUAGUGUAGCUAGGAUAUCACAGCGGGUUGCGGACCCGUUAACCGGGGUUCAAAUCCCCGCAGGUCCGCCA
rnacentral:tRNA from 1 species